UGAAGUAAAAGUCGUAACAAGGUCUCCGUUGGUGAACCAGCGGAGGGAUCAUUACAGGACUCGCAAGACUCCUACAACCCUGUGAACUUAACUAUAAGCACGUUGCUUCGGCGGGUGUCUCGGAGGGGGUUCUCCCUCCCCGAGACGCUAAACCCGCCGGCAGCCUACUAUACUCUGUCUCUUUGCGUUGGCAUCUCGAGUACAAUCAAACAAGUUAAAACUUUCAACAACGGAUCUCUUGGUUCUG
rnacentral:misc_RNA from 1 species